UUUCUUUGUGAUAGUAUGUGGAGACAUUGAAAUUUAUUAGAUUAAGGUUUGCGAUAAAGGAUGAUUGAUUUGAUAUACGAUUAAAUAGUAAGUGAUGAAAUUCAACUGAUUUUGAGAUAUCUUGAAUGGUUGUAGUUCGCGUAUGCAGAUGACUUGGAGUUUGAUAUGAUGAUAAGGAGAUCUUAGAAGUAUAUUUUUGGUAUUAUAAUAUUUGAGAACUAAUUUGAUUUGAGGUUAUGAUAAUUUGAAACUCUUG
rnacentral:lncRNA from 1 species